rnacentral:rRNA from 1 species
UACGUAGGCAGCGAGCGUUGUUCGGAGUUACUGGGCGUAAAGGGUGUGUAGGCGGUUCUCUAAGUUUGGUGUGAAAUCUCCCGGCUCAACCGGGAGGGUGCGCCGAAAACUGGGGGACUCGAGUGCGGGAUGGGAGAGUAGAAUUCCUGGUGUAGCGGUGAAAUGCGUAGAUAUCAGGAGGAAUACCGGUGGUGUAGACGGCUCUCGGGACCGCCACUGACGCUGAGGUGCGAAAGCGUGGGGAGCAAACAGG